rnacentral:rRNA from 1 species
UACGUAGGGUGCGAGCGUUAAUCGGAAUUACUGGGCGUAAAGCGUGCGCAGGCGGUCUGUUAAGACAGAUGUGAAAUCCCCGGGCUUAACCUGGGAACUGCAUUUGUGACUGGCAGGCUAGAGUAUGGCAGAGGGGGGUAGAAUUCCACGUGUAGCAGUGAAAUGCGUAGAGAUGUGGAGGAAUACCGAUGGCGAAGGCAGCCCCCUGGGCCAAGACUGACGCUCAUGCACGAAAGCGUGGGGAGCAAACAGG